GUGCUGACUUCAGCAGCACGUAUACUAAAAUUGGAAUGGUACAGAGGAGAUUAGCAUGGCCGCUGCGCAAGGAUGACACGCAAAGCCGUGAAGCGUUCCAUAUAUUU